CUUUGUUGCCCCUGGUAGAGUGCCGUGGCAUCAUAGCUCACAGCAACAUCAAACUCUUGGGCUCAAGCCAUUCUCUUGCCUCAGCCUCUCAAGUAGCUGGGACUAUAGGCGCCCAACACAAUGCCUGGCUGCAUAGACUAUUUUUUAAAUUUUUUGUAGAGAUGAGGGUCUUGUGUUUCCCAGGCUCAUCUUGAACUCCUCCUGGCCUCAAGUGAGCCUUCCACCUCAGCCUCCCUUGAGUACUAGGAUUACAGGCUUGAGCCACCACGCCUGACCUAUAUAUCAUUUUCAAGUGUACAAAAUGUACAAUUUACACAGCCAUUGCAGUACAUUGAGCUCCAUAGAGACAGCACAGGGGCAAGUGAGAGCUGGACGGGCACUGGACGACUCUGUGCCUCGCUAAGGAAAAAUAACUAAACAUGAGCAAAGGCGAUCCUAAGAGGCUGAGAGGCAAAAUGUCAUCAUAUGCAUUCUUUGUGCAAACUUGUCGGGAGGAGCCCAAGAAGAAGCACCCAGAUGCUUCAGUCAACUUCUCAGAGUUUUCUAAGAAGUGCUCAGAGAGUUAGAAGACCAUGUCUGCUAAAGAGAAAGGAAAAUGUGAAGAUACGGCAAAGGCGGACAAGGCCCGUUAUGAAAGAGAAAUGAAAACCUAUAUCCCUCCUAAAGGGGAAACAAAAAAGAAGUUCAGAUCACAAUGCACCCAAGAGGCCUCCUUCAGCCUUUUUCUUGUUCUGUUCUGAGUAUCGCCCCCAAAUCACAGGAGAACAUCCCGGCCUAUCCAUUGGUGAUGUUGCAAAGAAGCUGGGGGAGACGUGGAAUAACACUACUGCAGAUGACAAGCGGCCUGAUGAAAAGAAGGCUGCAAAGCUGAAGGAAAAAUACGAAAAGGAUAUUGCUGCAUACCGAGCUAAAGGAAAGCCUGAUGCAGCGAAAAAGGGAGUCGUCAAGGCUGAAAAAAGCAAGAAAAAGAAGGAAGAGGAGGAAGAUGAAGAUGAAGAAGAUAAUGAAUACAUUGGUUCUAGUGCAGUUUUUUUUUCUUGUCUAUAAAGCAUUUAACCCCCCGGUACACAACUCACUCCUUUUAAAGAAAAAAUUGAAAUGUAAGGCUGUGUAAGAUUUGUUUUCAAACUGUACAGUGUCUUUUCUUUUUUUUUGCAGUUUUGGCCCAGGCCGGGCUUGAACCCACCACCUCCUUGAGUAUAUGGGGCUGGAGCCCUACUCCUUGAGCCAUAGGCACCACCCUGUACAGUGUCUUUUUUUGUAUAGUUAACACACUACCAAAUGUUUCUUUAGAUAGCUCUGUCCUGGUGGUAUUUUCUUUCUUUUUUUUUUUUUUUUGUAGAGACAGAGUCUCACUGUACCGCCCUCGGGUAGAGUGCCGUGGCAUCACACAGCUCACAGCAACCUCUAACUCUUGGGCUUACGCGAUUCUCUUGCCUCAGCCUCCCGAGCAGCUGGGACUACAGGCGCCCG